rnacentral:rRNA from 1 species
UACGGGGGGGGCAAGCGUUGUUCGGAAUUACUGGGCGUAAAGGGUGCGUAGGCGGUUCGUUAAGUUGGAUGUGAAAACUCUGGGCUCAACCCAGAGCCUGCAUCCAAAACUGGCGGGCUAGAGUUCUGGAGGGGGUAGCGGAAUUCCUGGUGUAGCGGUGAAAUGCGUAGAUAUCAGGAGGAACACCGGUGGCGAAGGCGGCUACCUGGACAGAAACUGACGCUGAGGCACGAAAGCCAGGGGAGCAAACGGG